AGAUUGAACGCUGGCGGCAUGCCUUACACAUGCAAGUCGAACGGCAGCACGGGAGCAAUCCUGGUGGCGAGUGGCGAACGGGUGAGUAAUACAUCGGAACGUGCCCAGUUGUGGGGGAUAGCCCGGCGAAAGCCGGAUUAAUACCGCAUACGACCUACGGGUGAAAGCGGGGGAUCGCAAGACCUCGCGCUAUUGGAGCGGCCGAUGUCGGAUUAGCUUGUUGGUAGGGUAAAAGCCUACCAAGGCUACGAUCCGUAGCUGGUCUGAGAGGACGACCAGCCACACUGGGACUGAGACACGGCCCAGACUCCUACGGGAGGCAGCAGUGGGGAAUUUGGACAAUGGGCGAAAGCCUGAUCCAGCCAUGCCGCGUGCGGGAAGAAGGCCUUCGGGUUGUAAACCGCUUUUGUCAAGGGAAGAAACGGUUCGAGCUAAUAUCUCGGACUAAUGACGGUACCUGAAGAAUAAGCACCGGACUAACUACGUGCCAGCAGCCGCGGUAAUCGUGA
rnacentral:rRNA from 1 species